rnacentral:rRNA from 1 species
GACGAACGCUGGCGGCGUGCUUAACACAUGCAAGUCGAGCGGUAAGGCCCUUUCGGGGGUACACGAGCGGCGAACGGGUGAGUAACACGUGGGUGACCUGCCCUUAGCUCUGGGAUAAGCCUGGGAAACUGGGUCUAAUACCGGAUAUGACUCCAUGACGCAUGUUGUGGGGUGGAAAGCCUUGUGCGGCUAGGGAUGGGCCCGCGGCCUAUCAGCUUGUUGGUGGGGUGAUGGCCUACCAAGGCGACGACGGGUAGCCGGCCUGAGAGGGCGACCGGCCACACUGGGACUGAGACACGGCCCAGACUCCUACGGGAGGCAGCAGUGGGGAAUCUUGCGCAAUGGGCGAAAGCCUGACGCAGCGACGCCGCGUGAGGGAUGACGGCCUUCGGUUGUAAGUA